rnacentral:rRNA from 1 species
UACGUAGGUGGCAAGCGUUAUCCGGAUUUAUUGGGCGUAAAGGAAACGCAGGCGGUCUUUUAAGUCUGAUGUGAAAGCCUUCGGCUUAACCGGAGUAGUGCAUUGGAAACUGGGAGACUUGAGUGCAGAAGAGGAGAGUGGAACUCCACGUGUAGCGGUGAAAUGCGUAGAUAUAUGGAAGAACACCAGUGGCGAAAGCGGCUCUCUGGUCUGUAACUGACGCUGAGGUUCGAAAGCGUGGGUAGCAAACAGG